rnacentral:rRNA from 1 species
AGAGCGAACGCUGGCGGCAGGCUUAACACAUGCAAGUCGAGCGCCUGUAGCAAUACAGGAGCGGCAGACGGGAGAGUAACACGUGGGAACGUACCUUUCAGUUCGGAACAACCAAGGGAAACUUUGGCUAAUACCGAAUACGCCCGUAAGGGGAAAGAUUUAUCGCUGAAAGAUCGGCCCGCGUCUGAUUAGCUUGUUGGUGAGGUAAUGGCUCACCAAGGCGACGAUCAGUAGCUGGUCUGAGAGGAUGAUCAGCCUCACUGGGACUGAGACACGGCCCAGACUCCUACGGGAGGCAGCAGUGGGGAAUAUUGGACAAUGGGCGCAAGCCUGAUCCAGCCAUGCCGCGUGGAUGAUGAAGGCCCUAGGGUUGUAAAGUCCUUUCGACGGGGAAGAUAAUGACGGUACCGUAGAAGAAGCCCCGGCUAACUUCGUGCCCAGCAGCCGAC